UACGUAGGGUGCAAGCGUUGUCCGGAAUUAUUGGGCGUAAAGAGCUCGUAGGCGGUUUGUCGCGUCGAAUGUGAAAACCCUGGGCUCAACCCCGGGCCUGCAUUCGAUACGGGCAGACUAGAGUUCGGUAGGGGAGUCUGGAAUUCCUGGUGUAGCGGUGAAAUGCGCAGAUAUCAGGAGGAACACCGGUGGCGAAGGCGGGACUCUGGGCCGAUACUGACGCUGAGGAGCGAAAGCGUGGGGAGCGAACAGG
rnacentral:rRNA from 1 species